CCUACGGGUGGCAGCAGUAGGGAAUCUUCCACAAUGGGCGAAAGCCUGAUGGAGCAACGCCGCGUGGGUGAAGAAGGUCUUCGGAUCGUAAAACCCUGUUGUUAGAGAAGAAAGUGCGUGAAAGUAACUGUUCACGUUUCGACGGUAUCUAACCAGAAAGCCACGGCUAACUACGUGCCAGCAGCCGCGGUAAUACGUAGGUGGCAAGCUUUAUCCGGCUUUAUUUGGCGUAAAGGGAACGCAGGCGGUCUUUUAAGUCUGAUGUGAAAGCCUUCGGCUUAACCGGAGUAGUGCAUUGGAAACUGGGAGACUUGAGUGCAGAAGAGGAGAGUGGAACUCCAUGUGUAGCGGUGAAAUGCGUAGAUAUAUGGAAGAACACCAGUGGCGAAAGCGGCUCUCUGAUCUGUAACUGACGCUGAGGUUCGAAAGCGUGGGUAGCAAACAGGAUUAGAGACCCGUGUAGUC
rnacentral:rRNA from 1 species